AUCACUUAUCGGUUCUAUGAGCUAAGAUCAUGUGUAGUGUCUGUUCUUUCCAGUGCAAUUUCUGCAACGGUCCCUAAUUUGGGACCAAUGAAAUUACGUGAAUUUUUCCAAUCAGAACGGGUGUUGUGAGCUUGCUUAAAAACGUGCAUGGCCGAUUAUCUCCUGAUAUUAGCUUGUAAUUACCCCAACAUAU
rnacentral:snRNA from 1 species